rnacentral:tRNA from 1 species
UGGCUUAACUGGUAAAGCAUUUGUCUAGCAAGCAUGGGGUUCUGAGUUCAAUCCUCAG